GUGCCAGCCGCCGCGGUAAAACCAGCACCUCAAGUGGUCAGGAGGAUUAUUGGGCCUAAAGCAUCCGUAGCCGGCUUUGUAAGUUUUCGGUUAAAUCCAUAUGCUCAACAUAUGGGCUGCCGGGAAUACUGCACAGCUAGGGAGUGGGAGAGGUAGACGGUACUCCAUAGGAAGGGGUAAAAUCCUUUGAUCUAUGGAAGACCACCUGUGGCGAAGGCGGUCUACCAGAACACGUUCGACGGUGAGGGAUGAAAGCUGGGGGAGCAAACCGGAUUAGAUACCCGGGUAGUCCCAGCUGUAAACUAUGCAAACUCAGUGAUGCAUUGGCUUGUGGCCAGUGCAGUGCCGCAGGGAAGCCGUUAAGUUUGCCGCCUGGGAAGUACGUACGCAAGUAUGAAACUUAAAGGAAUUGGCGGGGGAGCACCACAAGGGGUGAAGCCUGCGGUUCAAUUGGAGUCAACGCCAGAAAUCUUACCUGGGGAGACAGCAGAAUGAAGGUCAAGCUGAAGACUUUACCAGACAAGCUGAGAGGUGGUGCAUGGCCGUCGUCAGCUCGUGCCGUGAGAUGUCCUGUUAAGUCAGGUAACGAGCGAGAUCCCUGCCGCUAGUUGCUACCAUUACUCUCCGGAGUAGUGGGGCGAAUUAGCGGGACCGCCGCAGUUAAUGUGGAGGAAGGAAGGGGCCACGGCAGGUCAGUAUGCCCCGAAACUCUAGGGCCACACGCGGGCUGCAAUGGUAGCAACAAUGGGUCCCGAAUCCGAAAGGAGGAGGUAAUCCUCAAAUGCUACCUCAGUUAUGACUGAGGGCUGUAACUCGCCCUCACGAAUAUGGAAUCCCUAGUAACUGCGUGUCAUUACCGCGCGGUGAAUACGUCCCUGCUCCUUGCACACACUGCCCGUC
rnacentral:rRNA from 1 species